rnacentral:miRNA from 1 species
ACCAGCAUUCCAUUGGCAGAGG